rnacentral:rRNA from 1 species
AAACUUUCAACAACGGAUCUCUUGGUUCUGGCUUCGAUGAAGAACGCAGACGAAAUGCGAUAAGUAAUGUGAAUUGCAGAAUUCAGUGAAUCAUCCGAAUCUUUGAACGCACAUUGCGCCCUGUGGUAUUCCGCAGGGCAUGCCUGUUCGAGCGUCAUUU